rnacentral:rRNA from 1 species
UGGGGAAUAUUGCACAAUGGGCGCAAGCCUGAUGCAGCCAUGCCGCGUGUGUGAAGAAGGCCUUCGGGUUGUAAAGCACUUUCAGCGAGGAGGAAGGGUUCAGUGUUAAUAGCACUGUUCAUUGACGUUACUCGCAGAAGAAGCACCGGCUAACUCCGUGCCAGCAGCCGCGGUAAUACGGAGGGUGCAAGCGUUAAUCGGAAUUACUGGGCGUAAAGCGCACGCAGGCGGUUUGUUAAGUCAGAUGUGAAAUCCCCGCGCUUAACGUGGGAACUGCAUUUGAAACUGGCAAGCUAGAGUCUUGUAGAGGGGGGUAGAAUUCCAGGUGUAGCGGUGAAAUGCGUAGAGAUCUGGAGGAAUACCGGUGGCGAAGGCGGCCCCCUGGACAAAGACUGACGCU